rnacentral:rRNA from 1 species
UACAGAGGUCCCAAGCGUUGUUCGGAUUCACUGGGCGUAAAGGGUGCGUAGGUGGUGAGGUAAGUCGGAUGUGAAAGCUCGGAGCUCAACUCCGAAAUGGCAUUGGAAACUACCUUGCUCGAGGGUUGGAGGGGGGACUGGAAUGCUUGGUGUAGCAGUGAAAUGCGUAGAUAUCAAGCGGAGCACCAGUGGCGAAGGCGAGUCCCUGGACAACUCCUGACACUGAGGCACGAAAGCUAGGGGAGCAAACAGG